rnacentral:ncRNA from 1 species
AAAUGAAUUUUAAUUUGGUUUUUUGUUAAUUUUAUUUUAUUUGAUAUAUAUAUUUUUUUGAGGGUAUCGUUUAAAUAAGGUUGAAUGUUAAUAUAUAAUUUUAUGACUGUAAAGAAAUUUACUUAUAGAUAAAAAUUUAAUAUAAAAUAAGGUAAGUGCCAGCAUUUGCGGUUAUACUUGCUAUAUGAAUUAAUUUUUUUAUAAAUAUUUUGUUAGUUUAUUUUAGAUAGUUUAAAUUACAUGCAAUAAUUUUUGAUGAAAUAUAAAUUUUGUGGUAAUUUUUAAGUUUAAAAUUUUAUGAUAUUAUAAAUUUAUUUUAUAGACUAGGAUUAGAUACCCUAUUAUAUUAAAUUAUUAAUUAAUUAUAUAUUAUUAGUUUAUUUAAAAUAAAAAAUUAUGGCGGUGUUUUAAUCUGUUUAGGGGAACUUGCUUAUUAAUUGAUAUUCCACGAUAAAAUAAAUUUGUAUAUAGAGAAUAUUUAUGUAUGAUUGUUGUAAGAAUAUUUUUAUAAGAAUAUUUUUUUAAAAAAUUUUAAUUAAUUCAAAUCAGUAUGUAGUUGUUGUAUAAAUUUAAGUGAGUUACAUUGUUUUUAUAUUUGGAUUAAUUGAUUAAUUUUUAUUAUUAAAUUGGAUUUAAAAGUAAAUUUAAAAAUUUUUUAAAUUGAAUAUAGUUUUAAAAUAUGUACAAAUCGCCCGUCGCUUUUAAAUUUAUUUAAAAUAAGUCGUAACAAAGUAAAUGUACUGGAAAGUGUAUUUAG